rnacentral:rRNA from 1 species
AUGUCCGCCGUCGAGAUGGAGGUGUUCUCCGACGGCCAGCUCUUCGUCCUCACCGUGCUCAUGUUCACAGGAGGCGAGGUGUUCGUGUCGCUUGUAGGCCUCGCGUCCAAGUGGUCCAAGCUGAGGAAACAAGGUACUAUAAGCAUAUCACAGCGCGUCGAGAGCCACGACGACGAAGGAGUCGAGCUCGAGACGACGCCACAGGUAGCUAACGCCACCGACACCGACAGCUGGACGAGAAACUCCGACGAGACGAGCAAAAGCCCGAUUGACGCGAAGCGGCUGCGGCGCGAGGCCGUGCGCUCGCUGUCCCUAGUCGUCCUUGCCAUCGUCGUGGCGGCGCACGUACUCGGCGGCGCCGCCAUUGCUGCCUACGUCUACGCGUCUCCGGGCGCGAGGCGGACGCUGCGGAGCAAGGCCCUGGGCGUGUGGACCUUCGCCGUGUUCACGACGGUUUCCACGUUCUCGAACUGCGGGUUCAUGCCGAACAACGAGAACAUGGCGGCGUUCAGGCGGGACACCGGGCUGCAGCUGCUGCUCGUGCCGCUGGCGCUGUCGGGGAACACGCUGUUCCCGACGCUGCUGGCCGUGUGCGUGCGCGCUGCUGCCGAAGCGACGCGGAGGCCGGAGCUGGUGGAGAUGACGGCGAGAAACGGCAGGGAGCUGACGGGGUACUAUCACCUGCUCCCGGCGCGGCGGUGCGCGAUGCUGGCGGCAACGGUGGCCGGGCUCGUCGCCGUGCAGGUGUGCAUGGUGUGCGGCAUGGAGUGGGGUGGCGCGCUGCGGGGUAUGGGCCCAUGGGAGAAGGUGUCCAACGCGCUGUUCGUGGCGGUGAACUCCCGGCACACCGGCGAGUCGACCCUCGACCUCUCCACCCUGGCGCCUGCCAUCCUCGUCCUCUUCGUGCUCAUGAUGUACCUGCCUCCAUACACCACAUGGUUUCCAUUUGAGGAGAGCUCGGGCGUGAAGGACCAUCCCACGGAGGAGACCCAGGGGAGCAGGUUGCUCAAGAGCACGGCUCUGUCACAACUCUCCUACCUCGCCAUCUUCAUCAUCGCCAUCUGCAUCACCGAAAGGGAGAACCUCGAGGAAGACCCCCUCAACUUCAGCUUGCUCAGCAUCGUCGUUGAAGUCGCCAGUGCGUAUGGAAAUGUGGGGUUCUCCAUGGGCUACAGUUGCAGUAGACAGAUCAGCCCGGACCGGCUGUGCACCGACAGGUGGACCGGCUUCGUCGGGAGGUGGAGCGAUUCUGGCAAGCUCAUCCUCAUUCUUGUCAUGCUCUUCGGGAGGCUCAAGAAGUUCGGCAUGAAAGGUGGCAAAGCCUGGAAGCUUGGUUAG